rnacentral:tRNA from 2 species
GUUAGAGUGGCAGAGCACGGCAAAUGCAGGAGACCUAAGCCCUUUACACAGAGGUUCAAAUCCUCUCCCUAACU